rnacentral:rRNA from 1 species
GCCUACGGGAGGCAGCAGUGGGGAAUAUUGGGCAAUGGGCGCAAGCCUGACCCAGCAACGCCGCGUGAAGGAAGAAGGCUUUCGGGUUGUAAACUUCUUUUGACAGGGAAGAGCAGAAGACGGUACCUGUCGAAUAAGCCACGGCUAACUACGUGCCAGCAGCCGCGGUAAUACGUAGGUGGCAAGCGUUGUUCGGAAUAACUGGGCGUAAAGGAUGCGUAGGCGGUUAAACAAGUUAUAUGUUAAAUAUAUAGGCUUAACCUGUAGAAAGCAUAUAAAACUGUUUAACUAGAGUGCAGGAGAGG